UACGGAGGGUGCGAGCGUUGUCCGGAAUCACUGGGCGUAAAGGGCGCGUAGGCGGCGCGGGUAGUCAUCGGUGAAAAGUUCAGGGCUCAACUCUGAAUCGGCCGGUGAUACUCCCGUGCUCGAGCACUGUAGAGGCAGGUGGAAUUCCGGGUGUAGCGGUGGAAUGCGUAGAGAUCCGGAAGAACACCGGUGGCGAAGGCGGCCUGCUGGGCAGUAGCUGACGCUGAUGCGCGACAGCGUGGGGGAGCAAAACAGGG
rnacentral:rRNA from 1 species